CAAACUAUGUUCUGAUAGUAUAUCAGGCUAUCAAUAACAUUAUAUCACUGAUCAAUAGGCUCUGCAUUAAACCAAAACUCUUUCUGAAGUGAGAAUCUCUUCUUUAUCUGCCAAAAUUCAUGAGGAAGAAACACCAGGUUACCUUGACUUAUGGACAUAGAUCCAUGGAUAUGAACUCUGAAUUGCAUAAUCAUGCUGAAUGUUAACAGUUACUAACAAUGAGUUAUCAAAGCUGAGUAACACUCAACAACCUUAUACAUAAUUGAGUCACCUUACUUCUGCCAAGGCAUAGGAUAACGAUCCAGGAACAUUCGGUUGUAAAACGAAUCACUGCCAUCCUGGUGUGGUAUAAUAAAUAUAUAUUUAACUGCAUAAAAUACUGCCCCUUUUUUUUCCAAAACAGCUGUACUUAGUUUGUGUGUGUGUGUGUAUGUGUGUGUGUGUGUGAUGGAGUCUCGCUCUGUUGCCAG
rnacentral:lncRNA from 1 species